ensembl:rRNA 5S_rRNA 5S ribosomal RNA
UGUGAUGUCCAUACCACCCUGAACUCGCCCGAUCUCAUCUGAUCUCAGAAGCUAAGAAGGGGCAGAUCUGGUUAGUACUUGGAUGGGAGACCGCCCGGGAAUAUCGGAUGCUACAGGC